GACGAACGCUGGCGGCGUGCUUAACACAUGCAAGUCGAGCGGUGAAGCGAGUGCUUGCACUCGUGGAUCAGUGGCGAACGGGUGAGUAACACGUGAGUAACCUGCCCAUCACUCUGGGAUAAGCACUGGAAACGGUGUCUAAUACUGGAUACGACCAACCCUUGCAUGGGGUGUUGGUGGAAAGAUUUAUCGGUGAUGGAUGGACUCGCGGCCUAUCAGCUUGUUGGCGGGGUAAUGGCCCACCAAGGCGACGACGGGUAGCCGGCCUGAGAGGGUGACCGGCCACAAUGGGACUGAGACACGGCCCAGACUGCAACGGGAGGCAGCAGUGGGGAAUAUUGCACAAUGGGCGAAAGCCUGAUGCAGCGACGCCGCGUGAGGGAUGACGGCCUUCGGGUUGUAAACCUCUUUCAGCAGGGAAGAAGCGAAAGUGACGGUACCUGCAGAAGAAGCACCGGCUAACUACGUG
rnacentral:rRNA from 1 species